GUGAGCAUGGAGGCCCGGGCCUCCUUGUCUCAAUUGAGGGGGUUAGACGUCCUCUCCGAUUCAUCUCUCAAUUGUGCCGUAUUACUCGGCUCACCACCCACAGCCAUUGGAGCAGCCAUAACAUACCCAGCCGGCUAAACCCAGACCUCUACACAUCAGCCAUCUAGAGAGCAAGAGACUAACCGGUCGGACGCCUCGCACCUCUCGGGUUGGCUGGACGCAGCAAGGACGGGGCAGGGUGGAGGACCAACAGACCGUUCAGGAGCAAGGCGGCUUACCUGACGCCCUCUUCCCGCUGCAAUCAGGUCCGAGACGC
rnacentral:lncRNA from 1 species